rnacentral:rRNA from 1 species
UACGUAGGGGGCAAGCGUUGUCCGGAAUCAUUGGGCGUAAAGAGCGCGUAGGCGGCCCGACAAGUCCGCUGUGAAAGUCAAGGGCUUAACCCUUGGAUGCCGGUGGAUACUGUCGGGCUAGAGUCCGGAAGAGGCGAGUGGAAUUCCUGGUGUAGCGGUGAAAUGCGCAGAUAUCGGGAGGAACACCGGUGGCGAAGGCGGGAUCCUGGACCGGUUGCUGACGCUGAGGCGCGAAAGCUGGGGGAGCGAACAGGAUUAGAAACCCCGGUAGU